rnacentral:rRNA from 1 species
CCUUCGGGUGGCAGCAGUGGGGGAUAUUGCACAAUGGGGGAAACCCUGAUGCAGCGACGCCGCGUGUGGGAAGACGGUCCUCUGGAUUGUAAACCACUGUCCCAAGGGACGAAAAUGACGGUACCUGGGGAGGAAGCUCCGGCUAACUACGUGCCAGCAGCCGCGGUAAUACGUAGGGAGCGAGAGUUGUCCGGAAUUACUGGGUGUAAAGGGAGCGUAGGCGGGGAUGCAAGUUGGGUGUCAAAACUACCGGCUCAACUGGUAGUCGCACUCCAACCUGCAGCUCUUGAGUGAAGUAGAGGCAGGCGGAAGUCCGAGGGGAGCGGUGAAAUGCGUAGAUAUUAGGAGGAACACCAGUGGCGAAGGCGGCCUGCUGGGCUUUUACUGACGCUGAGGCUCGAAAGUGUGGGGAGCAAACAGGAUUAGAUACCCUUGUAGUC